CCUUCCUACAAUAGGAUUAGAGUUUGAAGGCUAUAAAAACACCCUUAAGGUGGCAGCCACAAUUAGCCAAGGAAUAAAGAUGAUGUUAUGAACAAUAUUUUGGUUCUUUUCUAUUAUUUAGCAACUUAUUAAGGUUUAACCUUGUAGCAUUCUAAUAUGGAUCUCCUCCAUGCCUAGUUAACCUAUCAAGAAUUUUUUGUGGCGUUCUCGAAACUGGAUUCGCUUGAUUAUCUAUGUUUCUAAUUACAUUGGUUGGUUAGGGGUGUGGUAGAGCAAUCUUCGCUUGAUUAUCUAUGUUUCUAAUCAUAUUGGUUGGUUAGGGGUGUGGUAGAGCAACCUUCGCUCCAUUAUUAUGUUUCUAAUCACAUUGGUUGGUUAGGGGUACAAAAGAGCAAUCUUCUGAAAGAUAUCUUGUCUUGUUUUUUGUCAAGUUGUGUGACGGGGUUUUUUAUUACAUGUUGAUCCUGGAUUCCGCAUCAGUUGAUAUCAGAGCAUGGUGAUAGAUUCCUAUUUAUCUAUAUUUGUUUAUUUCGUAAGUUUUUUUUUAUUUUUUUCUAUCUUAUUAAUUUUUUAUUUCGGUUUAUAUUAUAGUUUCUCUUAAAAAAAAGAAAAAAAAAACAGAGAAAAUUUUUUUUAUUUCAGUUGCGUGAGAUUUUUUAAAAAAAGUGAUAGAUAAAAAAAAAAGAAGAGUAAAGAAAAAAAAUCAUUUCAAUUGUCUGAUUUCAAAAAAAAAGAAGAAAAAAAAAAAAGAAGAGAUAUGUCAAAGUUUAGUGUUUUAUUCACAAAAUGUCAUACUGAAUUUAAAAAGGAUUCUAUGUAUGUCGAUUCUAUAUAUGUCAAUUCUUUUCUUGUCAUUAUGGUUGAAGAUUCGAGGACGAAUAUUUUCGAAUAAGGAGAUAAUGAUACGAGUAAAGAAAUAAUACGAUGCUUCAAAGAUUUAAAAUGAGAAACUCUAAAUCAUGACAAAUCAAGUUACUAUCCUCAAUUCAAGGUUUACGAGAUGAGAACUAUAUUUGGAAAGUAUGGGAGAAUAAGGAAACAAGCCACACUCUUUUCAAUACAUGUGAACACGCAAUACAAUUUCAGAUCGCAUAAUGCAUAUAUGGUUAAAUUGCAUUUAGGCCAAUUUUGUUAUUUUGGUAUUUUAGUAUUUUGUGGGAUUUGUUUUAAAUUAAUUUGUCCUAUAUUAGAAACCAAAUUCGUGCAGCUCAUUUAGAAAGGAGAUUUCUCCAAGAUAAUUUAGAAAAAUGAUUUUUAAUGUAAUCCAGGUUUGACUAUUUAACUAGAUACCCUUCCUAUAUUGUAAUUAUACCUUCCUACAAUAGAAUUAAGGUUUGAAAGGCUAUAAAAACACUCUUAAGGUGGCCGCCACAAUUAGCCAAGGAAUAAAGAUAUGUUAUGAACCAUAUUUUGGUUCUUCUCCAUUAUUUAGCAACUUAUUAAGGUUUAACCUUGUGGCGUUCUAAUAUGGAUCUCCUCCAUGUCUAGAUAACUUAUCAAGAAUUUCGUGUGGCAUUCUCGAAACUAAAAUCACUUGAUUAUCUAUAUUUCUAAUCACAUUAGUUGGUUAGGGGUGUGGUAAAGCAACUUUUGCUUAAUUAUCUAUGUUUCUAAUCACAUUGGUUGGUGAGAGGUGUAGUAAAACAUCCUUCUGGAAGAUAUCUAUGCUUUGUUAUUUGUCAAGUUGUGUGACGGGAUUUUUGAUCACAUGUUGAUCCUAGGUUCCGCAUCACAUUUUAUAAUAAUAAUUGUUAGCAAACAUGAUUCCAACUAAAGAACUGCAACACUUGACUUAUUUUGGAUGAUCUUAAUCAUAAGUUUCAAGUGCAGAAUCCUUUCAAACUUACCUUUCUUCUUCCUUCUAAACGAGUAAUGAAAACAGUAGCAAGGUUCGUUCCUUAUUGGGUUAUGUUUUUGUAUCCCUUCACCUGCAUACUCGUUUAACUUUUUUUGAGUUCCUUUGUGGCAAGCCAGCACAAUAUGCAAACUCAUGUAUAUUGCUCGUUUAACUUUUUUUGAGUUCCUUUGUGGCAAGCCAGCACAAUAUGCAAACUCAUGUAUAUUGCUCGUUUAACUUUUUUUGAGUUCCUUUGUGGCAAGCCAGCACAAUAUGCAAACUCAUGUAUAUAUGGAAGAAAUAAAUAUUCAACUGUUGAUAAGUUCUCUGGUCCCUUCUCAGGCUUGCAGCAAACUGGCCACCAACAAUGCAAAUAGUUCGGCUUAUAUCUCAGGACCACAUGAAUAACAAGUAAUAGCUGUAUUGCUGUCUGUCCUGCAUUUUUUGUAUUCAAUUGUAUUUGUCUAGAUUUGCUAUGUGUCUGAUCCUUUCUUGUGUUCGUUUAUUUGAUAUAGGCAGUAUGUUGGGAAGGCUGAUUUUCUAGUAUUCCGGGCAAUGAAUCAGCAUGGAUUUCUUGGACAAC
rnacentral:lncRNA from 1 species